GACGAACGCUGGCGGCGUGCCUAAUACAUGCAAGUAGGACGCAGUUGCGAACGGGUGAGUAACUCGUAGGUAACUACCUAUUAGAGGGGGAUACCUCUUGGAAACGAUAGCUAAUACCGCAUACUAGUAGAUGGACCUGCGUUGUAUUAGCUAGUAGGUAGGGUAAUGGCCUACCUAGGCAACGAUACAUAGCCGACCUGAGAUGGUGAGCGGCGAAACUGGGACUGAGACACUGCCCAGACGCCUCCGGGAGGCAGCAGUAGGGAAUCUUCGGUAAUGGGGGGAACCCUGACCGAGAAACGCCGCGUGAGUGAAGAAGGGUUUCGGAUCGUAAAGCUCUGUUGUUAAGGAAGCGGUACUUAACCAGAAAGGGACGGCUAACUACGUGCCAGCAGCCGCGGUAAUUC
rnacentral:rRNA from 1 species